AAUUGAUUAGCAGUGAUUGGUUUUCCAUUCUAUGUAUUGGAUGUGAAGAUUUAAUGUUUGGCUUGUUCUUAUAGUUUUGGCCAGCACUGUAGGCCAGUGAACCAUCGGAGAAAAGAUUGUUGACAUGGAAUUAAGUUAGAAGGUGAUGGAGAUGUGGGCAGCAGUAAGCAUCACACCCGUGAUUUUCAACAGUGGGUUGUUUCGUUCAUAAGGAGCAUUUCGAAUGAGGAUCCGAGUUGGAUGUGAUCUUCUGGAGUUGCUGAAGACGGUUGACACGCACUACGUAUAAAGGUAGCAGGUAAAGGAUUUAUGG